rnacentral:pre_miRNA from 1 species
UAUUAAAUAUUUCAUCCAUUUAUACUAUUCAAAACUGGUGUAACUAACGGAAUAACCAGACGGUUACAUGUACCUCAUGCUGAUGUAUAAAAACCACUUUUUAACCAUAGAAAUUGAUGGAAUUUUUAACA